rnacentral:rRNA from 1 species
UACGGAGGAUGCGAGCGUUAUUCGGAUUUAUUGGGUUUAAAGGGUGCGUAGGCGGAUUGAUAAGUUAGAGGUGAAAUGUCCGAGCUCAACUCGGGAACUGCCUCUAAUACUGUUGAUCUAGAGAGUAGAUGCGGUAGGCGGAAUGUAUGGUGUAGCGGUGAAAUGCUUAGAGAUCAUACAGAACACCGAUUGCGAAGGCAGCUUACCAAACUAUAUCUGACGUUGAGGCACGAAAGCGUGGGGAUCGAACAGG